rnacentral:piRNA from 1 species
AGCUGCUGACGCGGAUAACUCAGUGCUUGC